rnacentral:rRNA from 1 species
AGAGUUUGAUCCUGGCUCAGAGCGAACGCUGGCGGCAGGCUUAAUACAUGCAAGUCGAGCGGGCGUAGCAAUACGUCAGCGGCAGACGGGUGAGUAACGCGUGGGAACGUGCCCUUUGGUUCGGAACAACACAGGGAAACUUGUGCUAAUACCGGAUAAGCCCUUACGGGGAAAGAUUUAUCGCCGAAGGAUCGGCCCGCGUCUGAUUAGCUAGUUGGUGAGGUAAUGGCUCACCAAGGCGACGAUCAGUAGCUGGUCUGAGAGGAUGAUCAGCCACACUGGGACUGAGACACGGCCCAGACUCCUACGGGAGGCAGCAGUAGGGAAUAUUGGACAAUGGGGGCAACCCUGAUCCAGCCAUGCCGCGUGAGUGAUGAAGGCCUUAGGGUUGUAAAGCUCUUUUGUGCGGGAAGAUAAUGACGGUACCGCAAGAAUAAGCCCCGGCUAACUUCGUGCCAGCAGCCGCGGUAAUACGAAGGGGGCUAGCGUUGCUCGGAAUCACUGGGCGUAAAGCGCACGUAGGCGGACUCUUAAGUCGGGGGUGAAAUCCUGGAGCUCAACUCCAGAACUGCCUUCGAUACUGGGAGUCUUGAGUUCGGGAGA